AUCGUUUAUUUGUAAAUAUUCUCUAAUAAACUUUAAAUCUGUUCUUAUCAGUUUAAUAACUGAUCGGUCCUUUAUUUGAGGACUGUAUGUUAAAUUGAUCUUUGAAACAAGGGGAUGGAAUAGGAGCUUGCUCUGUCCACCCCAUGCAUUGACCUGGUAUUGCAGUGUCUCCAGGACCAGUGUCUCUUCU